UACGUAGGUGACCAGCGUUGUCCGGAUUUACUGGGCGUAAAGAGCGCGCAGGCGGUCGUUCAAGUCGAGUGUGAAAGCCCCCGGCUCAACUGGGGAGGGUCAUUCGAUACUGAUCGACUCGAAGGCAGGAGAGGGAAGCGGAAUUCCCGGUGUAGUGGUGAAAUGCGUAGAUAUCGGGAGGGACACCAGUGGCGAAGGCGGCUUCCUGGCCUGUUCUUGACGCUGAGGCGCGAAAGCUAGGGGAGCAAACGGG
rnacentral:rRNA from 1 species